rnacentral:rRNA from 1 species
AUUGAACGCUGGCGGCAUGCCUUACACAUGCAAGUCGAACGGUAACGGGCCUUCGGGUGCCGACGAGUGGCGAACGGGUGAGUAAUGUAUCGGAACGUACCUUUCAGUGGGGGAUAACGUAGCGAAAGUUACGCUAAUACCGCAUAUUCUGUGAGCGGGAAAGCAGGGGAUCGCAAGACCUUGCGCUGAUUGAGCGGCCGAUAUCAGAUUAGCUAGUUGGUGAGGUAAAGGCUCACCAAGGCGACGAUCUGUAGCGGGUCUGAGAGGAUGAUCCGCCACACUGGAACUGAGACACGGUCCAGACUCCUACGGGAGGCAGCAGUGGGGAAUUUUGGACAAUGGGGGCAACCCUGAUCCAGCCAUGCCGCGUGAGUGAAGAAGGCCUUCGGGUUGUAAAGCUCUUUCGGCCGGGAAGAAAUCGUAUCAGCUAAUACCUGGUGCGGAUGACGGUACCGGCAUAAGAAGCACCGGCUAACUACGUGCCAGCCGCCGCUGUAAUAC